rnacentral:rRNA from 1 species
AUUGAACGCUGGCGGCAGGCCUAACACAUGCAAGUCGAACGAGUGGCGGACGGGUGAGUAAUGUCUGGGAAACUGCCUGAUGGAGGGGGAUAACUACUGGAAACGGUAGCUAAUACCGCAUACCAUCAGAUGUGCCCAGAUGGGAUUAGCUAGUUGGUGGGGUAACGGCUCACCAAGGCGACGAUCCCUAGCUGGUCUGAGAGGAUGACCCGGCAAACCGGAACUGGGGCACGGUCCAGACCCCCACGGGAGGGAGGCGUGGGGAAUAUUUGACAAUGGGGGCAAGCCUGAUUCAGCCAUGCCGCGGGUAUGGAGAAGGCCUUCCGGUUGUAAAGUUCCUUCAGCGGGGAGGCGUUACCCGCAGAAGAAGCACCGGCUAACUCCGUGCCAGCAGCCGCGGUAAUAC